GACAGAGGUGCCGAGCGUUAUGCGGAAUCACUGGGCUUAAAGCGUGUGUAGGCGGGUCGUUAAGUGCCUUGUGAAAUCCCACGGCUCAACCGUGGAACUGCUGGGCAUACUGGCGAUCUUGAGCCAGCUAGGGGCAACCGGAACAAACGGUGGAGCGGUGAAAUGCGUAGAUAUCGUUUGGAACGCCAAUGGUGAAAACAGGUUGCUGGGGCUGUGCUGACGCUGAGACACGAAAGCCAGGGGAGCGAACGGG
rnacentral:rRNA from 1 species